GACGAACGCUGGCGGCGUGCCUAACACAUGCAAGUCGAACGGAACUGUUUUGAAAGAUUUCUUCGGAAUGAAUUUGAUUUAGUUUAGUGGCGGACGGAUGAGUAACGCGUGAGUAACCUGCCUUCAAGAGGGGGAUAACAUUCUGAAAAGAAUGCUAAUACCGCAUGACAUAUCGGAACCACAUGGUUUUGAUAUCAAAGAUUUUAUCGCUUGAAGAUGGACUCGCGUCCGAUUAGUUAGUUGGUGAGGUAACGGCUCACCAAGACCGCGAUCGGUAGCCGGACUGAGAGGUUGAACGGCCACAUUGGGACUGAGACACGGCCCAGACUCCUACGGGAGGCAGCAGUGGGGGAUAUUGCGCAAUGGGGGCAACCCUGACGCAGCAACGCCGCGUGAAGGAUGAAGGUUUUCGGAUUGUAAACUUCUUUUAUUAAGGACGAAAAAUGACGGUACUUAAUGAAUAAGCUCCGGCUAACUA
rnacentral:rRNA from 1 species